GAGUGAGUGUGUGUGUGUGUGUGUGUGUGUGUGGAAGCACAUCCUGCACACCUUCAAGAGGUGAGAGAGAGAGAGUGUGUGUGUGUGUGUGUGUGCGUGUGUGUGUGGGAGCACAUCCUGCACACCUUCAAGAGGUGAGAGAGAGUGUGUGUGUGUGUGUGUGAGCACAUCCUGCACACCUUCAAGAGGUGAGAGAGUGUGUGUGUGUGUGUGUAUGUGUGUGGAAGCACAUCCUGCACACCUUCAAGAGGUUUCCAAAAAAUUAAUGGAGCAAGAGGAGCAGAUGGUGAAGACCCCCUCCCCUCCCCCCAAACACACACAGGACUGAGCAACUUACCUGUACCUGAGUGAACGUCGUACCCAACAGGAAUGACAGCACAUUUUAGAAUUAUUGUUGAAAUAUACAUCUUGAGGUUCUUUUAUCAGCCUGUGCUUAGUUGGAGAAGCUCAUAAGAGCAUUCUGAUAAGAUUAUUAUUAUUAUUAUUAUUAUUGUUUUGGAAAUUGGUUCCAGGCUGAAAAUUAUACUGUGUGUUAAAGUUGAAAACACCGAUCUUCUGCUGAGCAUAAGACACUCUGUUCAGGCAUGUAUUUUAUAUUUAAACUCUAUUCUAUUACUCUUACUUCACUGCUAUAGGAUAUAUUUAAGUGUAGAGUUGUAACAAUCGGUCAGUUUGGAGGCCAGGCUGUUCAGCCUCGUUUGGUGGGACAUUUGUCUGAAGCGGAUUACACAACCUGCUGUACAAGAAAAUAAUUAUCUAAACGGAAAAAAAUAA